rnacentral:rRNA from 2 species
AAAUUGAAGAGUUUGAUCAUGGCUCAGAUUGAACGCUGGCGGCAGGCCUAACACAUGCAAGUCGAACGGUAACAGGAAGCAGCUUGCUGCUUUGCUGACGAGUGGCGGACGGGUGAGUAAUGUCUGGGAAACUGCCUGAUGGAGGGGGAUAACUACUGGAAAUGGUGGCUAAUACCGCAUAACGUCGCAAGACCAAAGAGGGGGACCUUCGGGCCUCUUGCCAUCAGAUGUGCCCAGAUGGGAUUAGCUUGUUGGUGAGGUAACGGCUCACCAAGGCGACGAUCCCUAGCUGGUCUGAGAGGAUGACCAGCCACACUGGAACUGAGACACGGUCCAGACUCCUACGGGAGGCAGCAGUGGGGAAUAUUGCACAAUGGGCGCAAGCCUGAUGCAGCCAUGCCGCGUGUAUGAAGAAGGCCUUCGGGUUGUAAAGUACUUUCAGCGGGGAGGAAGGUGUUGUGGUUAAUAACCACAGCAAUUGACGUUACCCGCAGAAGAAGCACCGGCUAACUCCGUGCCAGCAGCCGCGGUAAUACGGAGGGUGCAAGCGUUAAUCGGAAUUACUGGGCGUAAAGCGCACGCAGGCGGUCUGUCAAGUCGGAUGUGAAAUCCCCGGGCUCAACCUGGGAACUGCAUUCGAAACUGGCAGGCUUGAGUCUUGUAGAGGGGGGUAGAAUUCCAGGUGUAGCGGUGAAAUGCGUAGAGAUCUGGAGGAAUACCGGUGGCGAAGGCGGCCCCCUGGACAAAGACUGACGCUCAGGUGCGAAAGCGUGGGGAGCAAACAGGAUUAGAUACCCUGGUAGUCCACGCCGUAAACGAUGUCUACUUGGAGGUUGUGCCCUUGAGGCGUGGCUUCCGGAGCUAACGCGUUAAGUAGACCGCCUGGGGAGUACGGCCGCAAGGUUAAAACUCAAAUGAAUUGACGGGGGCCCGCACAAGCGGUGGAGCAUGUGGUUUAAUUCGAUGCAACGCGAAGAACCUUAC